rnacentral:sRNA from 1 species
GGGGCUCCGAGCACGGCUACAGGCGCA